GAUGAACGUUGGCGGCGUGCCUAAUACAUGCAAGUCGAGCGAACGGACGAGAAGCUUGCUUCUCUGAUGUUAGCGGCGGACGGGUGAGUAACACGUGGAUAACCUACCUAUAAGACUGGGAUAACUUCGGGAAACCGGAGCUAAUACCGGAUAAUAUUUUGAACCGCAUGGUUCAAAAGUGAAAGACGGUCUUGCUGUCACUUAUAGAUGGAUCCGCGCUGCAUUAGCUAGUUGGUAAGGUAACGGCUUACCAAGGCAACGAUGCAUAGCCGACCUGAGAGGGUGAUCGGCCACACUGGAACUGAGACACGGUCCAGACUCCUACGGGAGGCAGCAGUAGGGAAUCUUCCGCAAUGGGCGAAAGCCUGACGGAGCAACGCCGCGUGAGUGAUGAAGGUCUUCGGAUCGUAAAACUCUGUUAUUAGGGAAGAACAUAUGUGUAAGUAACUGUGCACAUCCUGACGGUACCUAAUCAGAAAGCCACGGCUAACUACGUG
rnacentral:rRNA from 1 species